rnacentral:rRNA from 1 species
CGUAAAGACUAGUGUUAUUCAUCUUUAAUAGGUUUAAAGGGUACCUAGACGGUAUAAUUAGUCUUAAACAAGAAACGGUUAUGCUAGAGUUAUAUAUGAGAAGGGGAGUAUUUAUGGAGUAGAGUUGAAAUUCUUUGAUCCCAUGACGACUGGUAACGGCGAAAGCAACCUUUUAUCUAAUAACUGACGUUGAGGGACGAAGGCUCGGGUCACGACCAGGAUU